CUGUGGAUAGCACAGAAUCACAGUUCUGUGGAGAGCCUAUUCCAACAGGGAAAGAAUGGGAGUGGAAGCCAUAUGACCUCAUGUAGCCAAACAAAAGAAAAAGAAAACAAACCAUCCCUGUAGUUUGCCUGAAGGAAGUGUGUCAACAACAUUCCACUAGUCACAUAUUAAGUUCUCUUGACUUAGUGUCAAGGUGUGUGGUAUUAGGGACCCAUCCCAGGGCCUCCUGAGUGCUAGGCAAGUGUGCUACACCCAGGGCCCUAAGUUCUCAUGAAGUGAAAAGAAUCUCAGUUAGUUCCUCAUUGAUGAGUUCAGAUUUGGUAUCAGGUUAUAUAACAGAACAACUACUUUCUUUUCACCUCCCAGGAAAUAACCUCUUACAGGGAAUCUCCUCUCUACUCCCUCUAAAAAUGAGACAUUCUGUAUCCCAUCCUCACUGGCUUUUGUUUGUUUGUGUUUGUGUGUGUGUGUGUGUGCACGCCUGCACGCACUUUGAACCAGGAGGACGUGGGCUGUGAGGAGAAGCUGUACUUCGGCUUGAAUGAAUACAGCAAGUCUCUGCAGUGGGGGGUCACAAGCCCACUCCUGAGGUGCGAUGAGACCUUCGAGAAGAUGGUGAACACGCUCUUGGAGAGGUAAAUAAGGACGCCUGCCCUUUUCUUUAGCUGUGCUUACAUGUCACAGGGAGUUUGGAGCUCAUGCAGAUGACAUGCAGAGGCCAAAUAAGAAAAGCCUCUUCUUCUAAGAUGCCUUUUACCCUAUGGGUUUCACGUGAUCACCUGAGACCAUCAGAGGAAGACGUGACCUAAAAUAGUGACCUACAGUAGGGCACAGCACCCCUUUUCAUGCCCUGAAUUGUCUCCCAAUGAAGCGUCAUUGCUACCAGCAAGAGGUUGAAAGGUCAGAAAGGGAUUUUGCUCAUUAAAGACAUCUCUCUGGCCGCCCUGACCCUGUAUUUCGGGCUUCUACGUCUUCUCCUCUUUCCUCCUGUUGACCACAGGAAAGCAUCCUCAGAUGACUUUGUAAAAACCAAACUUGACUAUGAGAGAGGUGGAGGACAGACUGAAGAAAGUUAGGGAACAAUCAGAGAAUUUCGGUGUGUUCAGUUCUUGGGGUCCCUCUUUCAGUCUCUGAUGCUUAGAGAUUAAGGAUAAUGAUUCUUCUGGCUUGUCUGCCUUUUAUUCCUCAGUUCUAGGUCAAACCCUGAAAGAGUUUUUUCCUUUUCUUAACUUGAAUCAUAAACUCGAAGAUUAGUUAAAGGCAUUUCCUUAACCUAAUAGAAGUUUCUCCUUGUCCUCGGCCUCAGUAUUCUAUGAUCAUCCAACAAUGGAACCGUAUGACUCUAUUGUAUGAGGCAGAUUGUAAUUUUUAGUAACUGUGGUUCUUAAAAUUAGCCUCAGUUGAUCACAAGCUAUCUGUUUAACAAAUCUGCUCUCUAUAUUUUGCUAAGGGAAAAAUAAAAUAAGAGACAAGUGGAUACAUCCUAACUAGCUACUUAAAAUGUUGCCUCAGGAAAUAGGAGUUGGCCUAGAUUUGAUUUCUUCACAGCUGUUAGAUUUGAGAAGUCUUAGCUGACACUGUUACAUUAAUCCUUUCACAGAACAUGUUAUCCCAAAUUUCCAAAAUUAUCCAUGAGUCUCCCCUUUAAAGUCUCCCACCCAUUCCAUGUGCCAGCCCGGAAUACAUUUUUCUUCCCAGGAACAUCAGAGACUCAUAACUUAUAUUUUAAAAGAUGAUCCCAUCAACUUCAAUUCCAACUUUUGUAAUACACAACUACAGUUUGUAGUCUAAUAGAAAUGUAACAGAUUGGAGAAACUAGUUGCUUUUAAAUUCAUAAUUCUUUUCCGAGUGUGAAAGGUAAGGGCCUAUAUAUCAAAGUUACCAUUUAUUCUAACCUUGGCUUUUUUUCCACAUGGCCAAGCAAAACAGAACAAAACACCCUAAGCUUUAAACACAGAUCAUCUGUGCUUUCCUCCUCCAAUGCCGUCUCUUGCAGGCUAAUAAUAGCUAUGAUUUAUUGAACAGCUGAAGGAACUGGCCCAGGAUUGGUGGAACUGAAAUUUUUCUUUACUUUUUCCCCACUAAAACCUUGUAAUGUGUGAAGAAAUUGUCAGAGACCUGAAAAAAAACAGACCCAGCUCAGUCUCCGACAAGUUGUGUGAUCUAAGACGAGGAUGAAUGUCUCUCAGCACCUUAACUCAUUCUGCUCUGAAAGGACUGCUGGUCCUUUCCCCUCUGAAACUCUUCAAAAACAUGUUAUUCGUUUGAUGACCCUAAUUGGUAUUUGCCCCUGGAUUGUUCUGUGCAGGCUGGUGGAACAUCUGUAUUUUGAUUAUAAAAUGAAACAAAUGGAAAUCCCCCACAAUCCAUCCAGUAGCCGGGCAGCCAGGAAGACAGUGCACAGGCUCAGCCCAGCCAAUCCUGGGCCUGGCUCUGCUUUGCCAGCACUCAGUUAGCCACUCAUCUAGUCAUUAGCCUUCCUGAGGAAUAGAGAUUUCUUUUCUACAUGCUCUGUAAUUUUACAAGUUGCCAGUUUCAAUAAAGUGAUCCUCUCUAAGCAGGGACCAAGGGGUGUCACGCUCACAGGCUCACAGCUCUAGUUGGCUUUUCCCCCUUGACUAAUUUGGGUCUCAGACAAUAAAGAGCCCAAGCCACUAGAGGGUGCUCUUUCACCAGUCAGCUCCCCUGUUUCCAGCAAGGCACAUUUACAGGAAGCCAUCUGUAGGGCUGACCUGAAAUUAGAAAUGAUUACCCGUUUUAUGUUGACACUCCAAAAAUACAGUAAUAUCUCCCUUUACUGUAACUUAAGUGUCAGAGAACUGAGUAGACAACAUUGCCAUUCUAACCCAAUGCCACCAGCAAGAGGUUAGGACCCAAGGAUUAUCCCUUAAGAGUCUAACUAGGCCAAUGCAUUCCAGAAUUUAAUGUACACGUGAAUCACCUGUGGAUUCUGAUUCAGUAAGUCAGGAGGGUGGGCAUUUCUAACAACCCCCCAGGUGCUGCUGUUGCUGGUCUAGAGCCCACACUUUUGAGAGGGUAGGGCCACAAAGCAUUCGUAAGCCUCUUGGUUUUACCUGUCCCAUGGGGCCAUUACUCACAUGCUUUGGAAGCUCAACUUCUCCUUCUAGUGAUAUGGGAUCCAAGGUCCUUGUAGAGCUCACACUCCUGAUCAGGAGCCCCUUCCCUGCCAUGCUCCAUCUGCCUUUUGCUGCCUGGGCCUCGCUGUUCCAACUGUCCUGCUGCUGAGUGCCAGGCCCCUGUGCUCUUUUGAAGGUACCCCAGGCUGCACAGCAUGGUCGUCCGCUGCUACCUUCUCAUCCAGCAGUACUCGGAGGCCCUGAUGGCUCUUACUACCAUGGCGUCACUACGAGACCACAGCACACCAGAAACACUCAGCAUUAUGGAUGACCUCAUCAGCUCCCCAGGAAAAAACAAAAGUGGGAGGGGACACAUGCUCAUUAUCAGGGUGCCCUCGGUGCAGCUGGCGAUGUUAGCCAAGGAGCGACUGCAGGAGGUGCGGGACAAGCUGGGUCUACAGUAUCGCUUUGAGAUCAUCCUUGGGAACCCGGCCUCUGAACUCAAUGUUGCAACCCACUUUGUGGCACGAUUAAAGGUUAGCAAAGGACAUACAUUAGUUUCUGUUUUCCAGGAAUCUGAAAUACCAUUUGUUUCUGUUUUCCAGGAAUCCUAUCUAGGUGGCUUAGAGGCCUGAGUUUAGUAGAUUUUUGCACGUGUGUGCAUGUGAUCUCCAGAACAGUGUCAGGGCUAACAUGAGGAAUAUGUUUGCUUUCAUUAAUUGGAGCCAGAUUCUCAAGAUUCUGUCAAGCCCCCUUGUUAGCAUGUGCAUGCAGUUGGUCUCCGUGCUCUCCAACUGCAGGUGCAAAAAAUGAGAUGACCCCAUUUGACCCCAUGUUUAUUGACCUUGUUCGAGAUGCAUCUAGCCCACGGCCAUCUGU
rnacentral:lncRNA from 1 species